rnacentral:rRNA from 1 species
AUAAAAUUAGAAUAUAAUAAUUAAAUUACUACAUUAUAUUAAAAACAUUUAAAAAUUUAGUAAGGGUGAUUAAACUUUUUUAUAUUUUUAUAAAGUACUGUGAAGGAACAUAAUUAAUUAUUUAAAAGAAAAAACUUAUAUUUGUACCUUUUGUAUCAUGGUUUAACUAGAUUUAAAUUCAUAUGAAUAUUCUCGAAAUCUAAUGAGCUAUCUUUUAUCUUUGUAAUAGAAUUAAAAAGUUAAUUGUAGAAAAAAUUUCUUUAGAAUAAAAGAUAGAAAUGAAAUUUUAUUCGCAUUAGAUGAUAGCUAGUUUUUCCUAGAAGGUAUAUUAGUACCUUAAAUUGAUUUAAAUAAAAUAAUAUUAUUUUAUUAUUAUUCAAUUUAAUUAAAUUUUAGAGGAUAAGCUCUAAAAUAAUUUAAUUUUUAUAAUAAACUCCUUUUGGAUAUAAGCUUGAAAAUAGCUAUUAUUAAAGAUUUUGUUAUAAUUCACCAAAUUAUAAAGGAAUAAUUUAUUUAUUAUAUAAAAAGGAAAAGAAAUCAAAAACUUAAUAAGAAUUAUAUUUAUGUUAAAAUGAGUAUUAAAAAUAUAUAACCAUAAAAAAAUUAGUAUUUUUAAAUUUUAGAUAUAAGUAUGAUUAAUAAAUAAUAAAAAGGAACUCGGCAAAUAUAUAUUUCGCCUGUUUAUCAAAAACAUGGCUUCAUGUAUAUAAUACAUAUGAAGUCAGACCUGCCCAGUGAAUAUUUUUAACGGCCGCGGUACUCUGACCGUGCAAAGGUAGCAUAAUCAUUUGCCUUCUAAUUAAAGGCUAGAAUGAACGGUUUAUCGUAAAUAUAGCUGUCUCUUUAUUUAAUAUAUAGAAUUUUAUUUUUAGGUGAAAAAGCCUUAAUUUUAUUAAUAGACAAGAAGACCCUAUCGAGCUUUAAAGCAUUUAACAAAAUAGUAUUUAUUUAACAAAAAAAUUAAUUGUUAAAAAUUUUGGUUGGGGCAACCGAGGGGCAUACAAAGCCCCCUUUUACUAGAAUAACAAACUUGUAUUGAUCCAAAAAAUUUGAUUAAAGAAAAUAGUUACCGUAGGGAUAACAGCAUUAUCUUUUUUGAGAGCUCUUAUCGAAAAAAAGGUUUGUGACCUCGAUGUUGGACCAAAAUAUCCUAAAGAUGCAGAAGUCUUUAAAGGUUGGUCUGUUCGACCAUUAAAAUUUUACGUGAUCUGAGUUCAGACCGGCGUGAGCCAGGUCAGUUUCUAUCUUUAAUUUUUUAAAUUCAUUUAGUACGAAAGGACCAGUGUAUAAUAUAAUAUAUAUUAUAAGAAAAAAAAUAAUAAAUAAUUAAAU